rnacentral:misc_RNA from 1 species
AACACUGUUAACCUGCGGUACCUGCGGAGGGAUCAUUACCGAAGUUACUCUUCAUACCCUUUUGUGAACCCUACCAACCUUGCCGCGCGUUGCCUCGGCGGGGAGGUCCGGGAGGGGUUGCCGGGGCCCCGCGCCCCGGUCCCCCCUCGGGCCCCCGCCGGCCGCGCCGAACUCUUCAUUUGCAAAGCGGACUGCAUGUUCUGAUUAUAUCUUGAAAACAAGUCAAAACUUUUAACAAUG